rnacentral:tRNA from 1 species
GAGGGUACAGCUCAGUGUCAGAGCACAUGCUUAGCAUGCACAAGGUCCUGGGUUCAAUCCCCAGUACCUCCA